GGGCUCUGCAUGAAAUAAGAGUGGGUGUAUCCCCUGGAGGGAGGGACGGGCAUUUGCAGGUUUAAGGAGGAGUUUAUAGUCCACUUAAUGACUCCAGGGUGCCCAGGUCCCAUGGCUGCAAAACCUAAACAAUCACAACCUACAGAGCUUACUAAGCAUUGUAGGACAUGUGAUGAGACCUGUGCAAAUGCAUACUGCUCCAAUCCACCACUGGGUCAUGCCUUCCUAACUCCACACCGUCCAUGGAAACAGGAGCUGUGCCAAGAGACCAAAUACGAUCCACGACGACUGUACCCAGCAGCUUGUCAUCUUACACCGUCACAGUGCACCAAAGCCUGGCCUUCGCCAUGAAAAGCUAUAAAACACUAAGUUGUCUGACAUGUAGGCCAUGAUGUGGGUGUAUAUAUUACCUUCUCUUUGGCAACCUUGUGGGAGAAUGGGCAUGUCCCAUCCGCCUGCUUGCAUGUCCCUCUCAGAAACCUGCAGGAGGGAAACCAUAAAAUGAAGUUUAAAAAAGGAAAGUUGUUAUGUAAUGAGGCAGAAGGUGUUGACUUUCCCAAUCUUUUACUCAAAAUAAAUCAGUAACUUGUUGAUUUAAAAAGAAACUA